ACAACAUCCUCUUUUUUUCGAUUGUCUUAACUCAUCUCUCUCUAUCUUCUUCCUCUGUCGAUUCAUCUUCAGUUGAUACUAAAAUUUCUCUUAAUCUCAAUUUCCGUCAUGUAACUCUCCAUGGAUCUGUUAUAGCAACCUGAUGAAAAAGCGAAAAAACGAAAAAGAAAAGAUGCUUUCGGGAUACUUAUGAUGGAGAUGCACAUGCAAAGAUUGGGUUCAGCCGGAGAAUUUUUGAUUUUGUUAAUUCCUUCUACAAAUCGAUCAUGUGGAGAAAACCGCUUUGUGAUAUCACAAUCAUACGAACGGGAGGUUAUUGACUGUAACAUAGAUUAAUAACAAAAAGAUAAGUACAUUGGACAUUGGUUAAUUUAUAAUAGCUAUAAGUUAUUACUUAUGUGAAUUGAAAUGCUGACUACGGUUGUUGUAUGUUUGUAGGUUAGCUGCUAAACAUCAAGUAAUUACACUUUACAAAAGGAUGAGAAGAUUCAUCAUGAAUGACAGAACUCAUAUCUAAAGUUAGUUUUAAAAGGGGGUUACUGAUUGCAAAAGAGAUAAAUAACAAUCAGAUAAGUACUUUGGAAAUUGGUUAAUUUACAAUAGCUAUAAGUUAUUGCUUAUGUGAAUUGAAAUGCUGACUACAGUUGUUGUAUUCUAGUAGGUUAGCUGCUAAAUAUCAAGUAAUUACAAUUUACAAAAGGGUGAGAAGAUUCAUAAUGAUUGAUAGAACUCAUAUAUAAAAGGUAUGUUUUCUGGAACCCCAACUUAUUCAAUCUAAUGUGGUUUGGUUGUCCAUCUAAUGUGUAACUACUAUCUAUGAUGUGUGUUUAUAAUGAUAGAGAACUUUGAAUAAGUAAAAACAAAAACAUUGACAUCGUAAAACAUUUAGAAGCAGCAUACCUUCUUCCUUUCAAACUUGAUUAAUUCCUCGUUCCAUGAAAAAUAUUGAGAAAUUUCCUUGAAAGUAAGAUGUCUAGCCUCCAGAGCCGUCCCUAAGUUAAUAAAGGCCACAAUCAAAUUAAAAUAAAAGGG